AAAGGUUGUAAGAGCAAAGAAUAGGACUGAGUUCAUAGUAAGUUAUCUAAAAUACCCAAAUUACCAUUUAGAUACCUAAGUUACUACUCAAAUAUCCAAAUUAUCCAAAUUACCACCAACUUAUGUUUAGGACCAAUAGAAAACCAUACUUGUAUGGUUUUCUAUUGGUCAAAAGUUAGGGGAUCGAAGACGAUCAGAUACCGUCACAGUCUUAACCAUAAACUAUGCUGACUAGGGAUCGGGCGAUGAGAGCUUAACUAAGAUGCAAGCUAGUACCUACGUGCUGGCUUUCUUAGGGCU
rnacentral:ncRNA from 1 species